rnacentral:rRNA from 1 species
AUUGAACGCUGGCGGCAGGCCUAACACAUGCAAGUCGAACGGUAACAGGAAGCAGCUUGCUGCUUUGCUGACGAGUGGCGGACGGGUGAGUAAUGUCUGGGAAACUGCCUGAUGGAGGGGGAUAACUACUGGAAACGGUAGCUAAUACCGCAUAACGUCGCAAGCCCAAAGAGGGGGACCUUCGGGCCUCUUGCCAUCGGAUGUGCCCAGAUGGGAUUAGCUAGUAGGUGGGGUAACGGCUCACCUAGGCGACGAUCCCUAGCUGGUCUGAGAGGAUGACCAGACACACUGGAACUGAGACACGGUCCAGACUCCUACGGGAGGCAGCAGUGGGGAAUAUUGCACAAAGGGCGCAAGCCUGAUGCAGCCAUGCCGCGUGUAUGAAGAAGGCCUUCGGGUUGUAAAGUACUUUCAGCGGGGAGGAAGGGAGUAAAGUUAAUACCUUUGCUCAUUGACGUUACCCGCAGAAGAAGCACCGGCUAACUCCGUG